AUCUUUGCGUAGUGGCAGUAUGAUGAUAUGUGUUUAUCCGAUGCUUCAUUAUUACAAAUUUAAAACUUUACUCAAUAUCCCACCUUGACGAUUGGACGUUUAGUUGGUUAUCGCAAUUUUUGAUAGUCUCUACAGAGA